rnacentral:rRNA from 1 species
ACUCCGAAACUGCAUUCGAUACUGCCGUGCUUGAGGACUGGAGAGGAGACUGGAAUUUACGGUGUAGCGGUGAAAUGCGUAGAUAUCGUAAGGAAGACCAGUGGCGAAGGCGGGUCUCUGGACAGUUCCUGACGCUGAGGCACGAAGGUCAGGGGAGCAAACGGGAUUAGAUACCCCGGUAGUCCUGACAGUAAACGGUGCACGUUUGGUGUGGGAGGAUUCGACCCCUUCUGCGCCGGAGCUAACGCGUUAAACGUGCCGCCUGGGGAGUACGGUCGCAAGAUUAAAACUCAAAGAAAUUGACGGGGGCCCGCACAAGCGGUGGAGUAUGUGGCUCAAUUUGAUGCAACGCGAAGAACCUUACCAGGCCUUGACAUGCAUCUCUAAGUUGGUGAAAGCCAGCGAGUCCCG